UAGCUAUUCCAGAAAGAAAAAAAUGCAUUAUAAACUAAUAAACUGUUUUCUCUCUCAUUAUGUUUUCGUCAAUUGUUCAAUCGUUUCAAAUUAUUACUAAAUUUAUGUCUUCUAUAUUAAACAUGCAGACAAAAAGAUAAAGUUGUGGCUUUUUCUUUUGGGGCGUCAUUCAUCAGUUGUUGAGACUGCUCAGCCAGCAGCAUCUGGAUUAAGAGUUGUUGCUUCUGGGCUUUGGUUGGCUCCUGGGGAUUCAGAAGAGGUUGCAGCUGCUCUAUCUCAGGCUUUGAGGAAUCGUAUAGAAAGAGCUUUGCAUGGGCUUUAUUACAUGAGAUUUGGAGAUGUAUUUUUGAAGUUUCAUCAAUUUCAAAGAGAAGAACUGUUCAGGUAUGUUUU